rnacentral:rRNA from 1 species
AACGAACGCUGGCGGCAUGCCUAACACAUGCAAGUCGAACGAGACCUUCGGGUCUAGUGGCGCACGGGUGCGUAACGCGUGGGAACCUGCCCUUAGGUUCGGAAUAACUCCCCGAAAGGGGUGCUAAUACCGGAUAAUGUCUUCGGACCAAAGAUUUAUCGCCUUUGGAUGGGCCCGCGUUGGAUUAGCUAGUUGGUAGGGUAAAAGCCUACCAAGGCGACGAUCCAUAGCUGGUCUGAGAGGAUGAUCAGCCACACUGGGACUGAGACACGGCCCAGACUCCUACGGGAGGCAGCAGUGGGGAAUAUUGGAGGAUGGGCGAAAGCCUGAUCCAGCAAUGCCGCGUGAGUGAUGAAGGCCUUAGGGUUGUAAAGCUCCUUUACCCGGGAUGUUAAUGACAGUACCGGGAGAAUAAGCUCCGGCUAACUCCGUG